UCAUCAGUAAGGUACAUCCUUACCUAUUACUCCUUACGGAGUUGCACAAAAUUAUGAAUGGAAUGCAUGGUGAUUAAUACUCGCUCCCACCUCUGAGGAACUAACAACCCCUCAGUGACCAUUUUGCU